UCUGUAACUAUAGAGAUUAUGAAUAUUCUAAAUCCAGAUUACCUCUACUUUCAAUGGAAUAUGAAAAUCUCUCUUUCUGUCUCUCUUAACAAGAUAAACAUGUAUUCAACCAAUCAGAUCCAUUAUUAGCAGGUUUUUAAAAAUGACCACAGGAUUGAAGAGAUGAAGUAACCAUCAUCUGUAAGAUUUGGCUAAUGACAAGAUUUCUCUCCACGAAAGGCCUUGUGACCUCAAGAAUAAAGUCCUGUGUUAUGGAAGAAAAGGUGCUGGUUCAGCAGCCAGACAAUCUGGGUCUUACUGGAUCACCUUGCACAAAUUAUGUGACCUCAACAAGUCUCUGUCUCUUUAUUUGUAAAAAUAAAUAAAUAAAUAAUAAAUACAUAAAUAAAACCCUCCACUGUUCAGUAUUGAUGUGAUUUAAGAAGACGCAUGUGAGAGAGACCGUAGCUCUGUGCCCAACACAGAAAGAUACUCAUAAACACUUAGUCCCUCUCCCUCUCGGUGUAUGGGUGCGCUGUCCCUGCAGGGAGAAGGGAGCAGAGUCUCUGAGCCAAUGCUAGAACUAUUGGGGAGUGCAGAGGAGGAGGCAGCCUGACUCACACGAGAGAUAAGAGGGAUGUGGAAUGUGUUUUCUGAAAGCCACCUGAGGUGACAGGGAAGGAGGCCAAGCACGGAGUGAAGAGCCUGUCGGCCAAACCCCUCAGAGAGGAAAGGUCCCAGGCAUUGGCGAGGAAAGCCAAAGCACCUCUUGUCCCCACCCUGACUUCUCACGUUACCUUGGUCCUGUUACUCAUCAGAAGCUUGAAAGGGGAGCACACUCAUCUCCUGAUUACAGCAUAGCAAUGGGCAAGGGAGGAAGCGGAGGCCUCGAAGAGCCUGUUCUCCCUGGACUACAAGGGAGGGUUCCAGCCUUGCAAGGCGGCCCGGUACAAGGUGUCUUAGGGCUGGGAGUUCUUGCCUUCUUCUAACUGGCAUCUCAGCACAUUCUGGUUUCCCCAGAAGGCCAUCCAAAGACCCAUUCUUUAGACAGCUCCAUUCCUCGUAGUAGCAUCUGAGAAGAGAACUUUCUCCUCGUCCUGAGUUUGCUUCCUGGGGUCUGGUAGAUAGCUCCUGACCACAGAAGGGGCCCCCAGGAGACAGAGGUGCCAGCAUGGGGGGGAGCACCACCACUUGGGGUCUGCAGAGGAGCAGCUGUGCAGAGCUUAGGGAGGAGCCUGCUCCUUUCCUGACAAGGACCCACAUCCAACAGAACCAGCUCUAGUCUGUAGAGUCUCUCCAAGAAACCCGGACUUUGCCUGAUCUAUCCCGGCCAGGCCAGCCCUGGCACCUGUCAACCAAGCGGAGCACCCUUGUCCUGCACACUCGCCACAUCCGUGAAAGGGUCUUUCCAGACACUGCACUCGCAUGAAUAUUUU
rnacentral:lncRNA from 1 species